CGGAGUUCUUCAGGAUGUCCACGAUGUCCUGCAGCUGCUCCGUGAUGUGGUGCUGCAGCAGGCGUGACGCCACCACCGCGGCCCCGGACCCCGCGUGCCCGUCAAACAGCGACCAAUAGUGGCAGGAAACACCCUCGGAUUCCGAGUUCUCCUUCAGCUGCAGCCCUUCCCCAUUGGGAAGGGAGGACCGUCUCUUGGAUGAGUUCCUGUUUGGGGUUGAGGUCACGGCCCCUGCCUUCUUCUUCACAGUGAGCACCUCACAGCUGGCUUGGUCUUCAUUGUGUGUGCUCUUCCCGGCAUUGAUAACCUCUGCGUAGCCAGUGGCCCAGGGCAGCCGCCGAGUCUCCUUGAGGAUGAGGAUGGGGCGGGCGAUGUGGUCGGCGCUGCACUCCACCUCGUCC
rnacentral:lncRNA from 1 species